GUUGGGUAUGGCUUGGUGAUCUUCAGCUUGGUUCUCUUCGCCUAUUACACCGUCUGGAUCAUUAUCCUGCCCUUCACUGAGAGCGACCACCUCAUUCACAAGUACUUUCUACCCCGAGAAUAUUCAGUGAUCAUUCCUGUAGUGGCCGGACUGGUGUUGUUGCUAUUUAUUGGAACUUUUAUAACCAUCGUGAUGUGGAAGAAUCAGAAAUCGGACAAAAAGUCUACCUGAAGAGAGAGAAAAGGGAGGAGGAAGAUGGGAGAUCCCUUCCAGGGUUCAGGUUGGGGGAAUGGUGCAGCAAUUUGCAAGAUAUUUUGGGAGCCAGGAUUGAUCCCAUUAUCCCCACCCCAUCCUGGCAUGGACCGAGUUUCCAAACUGUGAACCCACCUGCAGAGAUCCCCACAUAUAUGCUACCGAAUCCGAAAUCCCAGAGCAAGGGUUUCACCCGAUAUUUUUUUUUUUUUAAGGGUCCAAAUUUAGCCUGGAAAUUCGACUAGGACUGAUGUUUACCAGGCCCCGGUUCUAGUUGUGUUUUUAUAGGUUUUUAAAAAAAACCACUGCUUUUCUCCUGCACCAUCUCAUGUGGUUUUGUGGUGUUUUGACUCUCUGGAUCGCAUUGGUCUUCUUUGUGCAAGCGCCCGCUCGAACUUAUAACUCACCCCUGAGGGAUGGUAGAUCCUUCCAGAAUCGUCCUUCGGUUUUGCCAGCUUAGGGAGAAACCUAUUCUUGCCUCUAAUUUGUUAUUCUUCAUUUUUUUAAAAUUUAUGUCUCGAGCCAAGUGACCCGUCGAGAUGCUGUUAAGGUGCGUUAGUUGGAAACUCCGAAUGACCCCGUUAAACGGCAUUUACAAACAGGGUUUACUCCUUUCUCCUAGAACGGGGGUGUCAAAAACUCGGUUUCACUGAGGGCCACAUCGCAGUUGUGUUUGACCUCGGAGGGGGGGGACAGGUGGGGUGUGGCCAGCUCAACCUCAUUCAUGUUGGAGGCACCUGUGGUGGCCCACGCACUCUGCCAGUGAAAACAGGCUCCCGAGCUCCGUUUUUGUUCUGCAACGGCUUCCUGCAUCGAAGUUUCCAAUCUUCACUUUCAUUGCACUUUAAAUUAAAAAAAAGCAAAGUGAGGAGGAUUAAUAUGUGUGCAUUUGCAUUAAUAAUUCAGAUAAGAUUCUGAAAUACAGACAUGCAUUCCGGGAUCACCAGACGGAUCCUCUGUUUAAAUGUUCCCCCCUCCCAAAAAAAAACUACAUAUCUGGAUCUCGUUUUCUGCAAUAUAGAUACAUUCCUCAGUAUUCAAAACUCAAGUUUCCUCCCUUCUGGGCCUGGUUAUGCAAAGAGGUCUAACAAUAAAAUGUUUUUCUUGUAUUGAUUUGUUUUUUUU
rnacentral:lncRNA from 1 species